CCGACCGGCGCACGGGUGAGUAACGCGUAUGCAACUUACCUAUCAGAGGGGGAUAACCCGGCGAAAGUCGGACUAAUACCGCAUGAAGCAGGGGCCCCGCAUGGGGAUAUUUGCUAAAGAUUCAUCGCUGAUAGAUAGGCAUGCGUUCCAUUAGGCAGUUGGCGGGGUAACGGCCCACCAAACCGGCGAUGGAUAGGGGUUCUGAGAGGAAGGUCCCCCACAUUGGUACUGAGACACGGACCAA
rnacentral:rRNA from 1 species